UCUACGGGGCGCAGCAGUGAGGAAUAUUGGUCAAUGGGCUUACGCCUGAACCAGCCAAGUCGCGUGAGGGAAGACUGCCCUAUGGGUUGUAAAACUCUGUUGUCAGGGAGCAAUUGGCGCCACGUGUGGCGUUUUGCGAGUACCUGAAGAAAAAGCAUCGGCUAACUCCGUGCCAGCAGCCGCGGUAAUACGGAGGAUGCGAGGUUUAUCCGGAUUUAGUGGGUUAAAAGGGUGCGCAGGCGGAAUGUGAAGUCAGCGGUAAAAUUUCGGGGCUCAACACCGUCGUGCCGUUGAAACUGGCGUUCUUGAGUGAGCGAGAAGUAUGCGGAAUGCGUGGUGUAGUGGUGAAAUGCAUAGAUAUCACGCAGAACUCCGAUUGCGAAGGCAGCAUACCGGCGCUCAACUGACGCUCAUGCACGAAAGCGUGGGUAUCGAACAGGAUUAGAUACCCCAGUAGUC
rnacentral:rRNA from 1 species